CUUGAGAGCGGCGUACGGGUGCGGAACACGUGUGCAACCUGCCUUUAUCAGGGAGAUAGCCUUUCGAAAGGAAGAUUAAUAUCCCAUAAUAUUUUGACUGGCAUCAGUUUAAAUUGAAAGCUCCGGCGGAUAGAGAUGGGCACGCGCAAGAUUAGAUAGUUGGCGGGGUAACGGCCCACCAAGUCAAUGAUCUUUAGGGGGCCUGAGAGGGUGAUCCCCCACACUGGUACUGAGACACGGACCAGACUCC
rnacentral:rRNA from 1 species